AGGGAAGUAGCUCAGUGGCAGAACGUGUGCUUAGUAUGCAUGAGGUCCUGAGUUCAAUUCCCAGCACCUCCA
rfam:Camelus ferus unplaced genomic scaffold scaffold1382, whole genome shotgun sequence.